CUCUUCUUGGAUGAGUUGCGAACGGGUGAGUAACGCGUAGGUAACCUGCCUUGUAGCGGGGGAUAACUAUUGGAAACGAUAGCUAAUACCGCAUAACAAUGGAUGACACAUGUCAUUUAUUUGAAAGGGGCAAUUGCUCCACUACAAGAUGGACCUGCGUUGUAUUAGCUAGUAGGUGAGGUAAUGGCUCACCUAGGCGACGAUACAUAGCCGACCUGAGAGGGUGAUCGGCCACACUGGGACUGAGACACGGCCCAGACUCCUACGGGAGGCAGCAGUAGGGAAUCUUCGGCAAUGGGGGCAACCCUGACCGAGCAACGCCGCGUGAGUGAAGAAGGUUUUCGGAUCGUAAAGCUCUGUUGUAAGUCAAGAACGGGUGUGAGAGUGGAAAGUUCACACUGUGACGGUAGCUUACCAGAAAGGGACGGCUAACUACGUGCCAGCAGCCGCGGUAAUACGUAGGUCCCGAGCGUUGUCCGGAUUUAUUGGGCGUAAAGCGAGCGCAGGCGGUUUGAUAAGUCUGAAGUUAAAGGCUGUGGCUCAACCAUAGUUCGCUUUGGAAACUGUCAAACUUGAGUGCAGAAGGGGAGAGUGGAAUUCCAUGUGUAGCGGUGAAAUGCGUAGAUAUAUGGAGGAACACCGGUGGCGAAAGCGGCUCUCUGGUCUGUAACUGACGCUGAGGCUCGAAAGCGUGGGGAGCGAACAGGAUUAGAUACCCUGGUAGUCCACGCCGUAAACGAUGAGUGCUAGGUGUUGGAUCCUUUCCGGGAUUCAGUGCCGCAGCUAACGCAUUAAGCACUCCGCCUGGGGAGUACGACCGCAAGGUUGAAACUCAAAGGAAUUGACGGGGGCCCGCAC
rnacentral:rRNA from 1 species